GAUGAACGCUGGCGGCGUGCCUAAUACAUGCAAGUCGAGCGAAUGGAUUAAGAGCUUGCUCUUAUGAAGUUAGCGGCGGACGGGUGAGUAACACGUGGGUAACCUGCCCAUAAGACUGGGAUAACUCCGGGAAACCGGGGCUAAUACCGGAUAACAUUUUGAACCGCAUGGUUCGAAAUUGAAAGGCGGCUUCGGCUGUCACUUAUGGAUGGACCCGCGUCGCAUUAGCUAGUUGGUGAGGUAACGGCUCACCAAGGCAACGAUGCGGAGCCGACCUGGGAGGGUGAUCGGCAACACUGGGACUGGAACACGGCCCAGACUCCGACGGGAGGCAGCAGUAGGGAAUCUUCCGCAAUGGACGAAAGUCUGACGGAGCAACGCCGCGUGAGUGAUGAAGGCUUUCGGGUCGUAAAACUCUGUUGUUAGGGAAGAACAAGUGCUAGUUGAAUAAGCUGGCACCUUGACGGUACCUAACCAGAAAGCCACGGCUAACUACGUGCCAGCCGCCGCCGUAA
rnacentral:rRNA from 1 species